rnacentral:sRNA from 1 species
AGCCAGUGGCCCAGAGGCUGAGCCCUGCCCAGAGCUCCACACGGAGCCAAUGGAGCCACUGACUCGGGCAUCCUCGGCAGGCCCUGAGGGUGGAGGAGUCCGCCCCGAGCAGCCCUUUAUUGUGCUGGGACAGGAGGAGUACGGGGAACACCACUCAUCCAUCAUGCACUGCAGAGUGGAUUGCUCUGGGAGGAGAGUCGCCAGCUUAGACGUAGAUGGGGUCAUCAAAGUGUGGUCCUUCAACCCCAUCAUGCAGACCAAAGCAUCCUCCAUUUCCAAAUCACCGCUGCUGUCUUUGGAAUGGGCCACCAAACGGGACAGACUGCUCUUGCUGGGCAGUGGUGUGGGAACAGUGCGUCUCUAUGACACGGAAGCCAAGAAGAAUCUCUGUGAAAUCAAUAUCAACGACGACAUGCCCAGGAACCAGCCUCAGGACCAAAGUGCACCCUCCCUCUGUGGGCAGGCGGAGGGUCUGACCCAGGCCCAUGUGUGUUGCAGAAUCCUGUCUCUUGCGUGCAGCCCCAACGGGGCCUCUUUCGUCUGUUCGGCAGCAGCUCCGAGCCUCACUUCCCAGGUGGACUUCUCAGCACCAGACAUCGGCAGCAAGGGCAUGAACCAGGUUCCUGGCAGGCUGCUGCUGUGGGACACGAAAACCAUGAAGCAGCAGGUACGGGCCUGCCCUG